rnacentral:rRNA from 1 species
UACGAAGGGGGCUAGCGUUGUUCGGAAUUACUGGGCGUAAAGGGCGCGUAGGCGGUGUGUCAAGUCAGGCGUGAAAGCCCCGGGCUCAACCUGGGAACCGCGCUUGAGACUGGCACGCUCGAGUUCGGGAGAGGAUGGUGGAAUUCCCAGUGUAGAGGUGAAAUUCGUAGAUAUUGGGAAGAACACCGAUGGCGAAGGCAGCCAUCUGGACCGACA